rnacentral:rRNA from 1 species
UACGGGGGGGGCUAGCGUUGUUCGGAAUUACUGGGCGUAAAGGGCGUGUAGGCGGUUCAUUAAGUUGGAUGUGAAAACUCUGGGCUUAACCCAGAGCCUGCAUUCAAAACUGAUGGGCUGGAGUUCUGGAGGGGAUAGCGGAAUUCCUGGUGUAGCGGUGAAAUGCGUAGAUAUCAGGAGGAACACCGGUGGCGAAGGCGGCUAUCUGGACAGAAACUGACGCUGAGGCGCGAAAGCUAGGGGAGCAAACAGG